rnacentral:rRNA from 1 species
AUUGAACGCUGGCGGCAGGCCUAACACAUGCAAGUCGAGCGGAUGAAGGGAGCUUGCUCCUGAAUUCAGCGGCGGACGGGUGAGUAAUGCCUAGGAAUCUGCCUGGUAGUGGGGGAUAACGUCCGGAAACGGGCGCUAAUACCGCAUACGUCCUGAGGGAGAAAGUGGGGGAUCUUCGGACCUCACGCUAUCAGAUGAGCCUAGGUCGGAUUAGCUAGUUGGUGGGGUAAAGGCCUACCAAGGCGACGAUCCGUAACUGGUCUGAGAGGAUGAUCAGUCACACUGGAACUGAGACACGGUCCAGACUCCUACGGGAGGCAGCAGUGGGGAAUAUUGGACAACGGGCGAAAGCCUGAUCCAGCCAUGCCGCGUGUGUGAAGAAGGUCUUCGGAUUGUAAAGCACUUUAAGUUGGGAGGAAGGGCAGUAAGUUAAUACCUUGCUGUUUUGACGUUACCAACAGAAUAAGCACCGGCUAACUUCGUG